rnacentral:lncRNA from 1 species
UGGGUCGCGCCCGCGAAUGCCAUUCUGGAAUGAGGUUUCAGUGCGAUGAGUGUCGCAGUUUCUGUUGGACAGUUCUUGAGCCGGCUACCCUCGGGGUGGUGUACGGCGCAGCUAGAUACAGGCAGGGUGGGUCCAUUUUGGGCAGCCCGGGUGAGAUAGUGAGUGACGUUUUUCCCUACCUUUAGUGAGGUUGUGACGUGAGUGGAGUCUUAACCAUCCUGUUGGACCUUUUUCUGAGACCGACUACUCUCGAGAUAUGGUGUAGUAUAAUUAGGUGAGACGGGUGUAUUCACAGUCUUUAGAGAGUUUUCUCCGCCGAUUACUCUUGAGAUACGGCGUAUUCUAGUAGACGAGACGGGUGUAUUCACAGUCUCCAGAGAGUUUUCUCCGCCGGUUACUCUUGAGCUACUGUGUCACCUAAUUAGGCGGGACGGGUGUAUUCACAGUCCCUAGAAAGUUUUCUCCAUCAGCUAUUCCUGGAGUAGGAUACGGGUUCGAUUCGACAGGCGGGACAGGUGUGUUCACAGUUCCUAGUGAGAUUGAGUCAGUUGUGACUUUUACUACAGUUGGUUAGUGUAGAUCAUGCUAGUGUAGCAAUAUGUAGCUGUAGAUUUCUUUCCAGCUUUUUUUGCUAGCCUUGUUACCUUCUGUAGACUUAGUGGGUGGACCGAUGAUUGUUGAGGGCGGCACCCACUGAGGACUACUUGUUUCUACAGUAGUUCUUACACCCAGUUGUUACUCCAUUUUUGCAGAGCCUUCGUCUUCGGCUGCUGCUGUUGCUGGUCAGGAGCUAGGCAAGGGCGUCACGAGUUAGAACCCUACUCGAGGAGUAGAGCUAGAUGCACCCCUACUGCAGGUAGAUGUUUUGGUUUGGGUUCAUGUACAUACAGACUUUUAACUCGCCAGCGCGAGUAGCUUUGUACUCUGGAAUUCAGUGUAUCUAUAGGGAACUCAGUUUCUUUUACUUUACUAGUUCUUCUAGCAGCUCUAUACUACUAUUUGUAGUAUUGUAUGUUUUACAGGUACAGCUGUCGCUUCGUAUACAGAGAAAAUUUCUUUGUAUACGGCGGAUUUGUCGGCGUGCCCGGGGAACGUGUAAUCCGGGGCGUGACACCAAUAAUAAUAUACACUAAUUUGUAUAUAUAAAUAUAAAUUAUAAUUAGUAGUAAUGCAACUAAAGUUUCACACUUAGGCCUUGUUUGAAUGCAUAGUUAAAAAACUCCAUAGAAUUAUUAUUCUAUGGUUUUGGUCUAAAUGAAAUACGAAAUUCUGUAACUACAAAAAAAUUCCACAGUUUCAUUUUUAAGCUGUUUGGAUACAGAUCAUACAAUUCCACAGUAUUUAUAAUAAUUAAAUUUCUAAAGUUUUAAAAUUCAAAAUUCAAAAUUUAAAAUUCAAAAUUCAAAAUCCAAAAUUUAAAAAUAAAAUUUUAAAAAUUAAAAUUCAAAAUUCAAAAUAUAAAAUUAAAUUUUAAAAUUUUAAAUUUUAAAAAUAAAUUAGAUUUUAUGUUUUAAAUUUGAAAUUUGAAAUUUGGAAUUUUAAAUUUAAAAUUUGAAAUUUGAAACUUUAAAUUUUAAAAUUUAAAGUAUACCAUUUAAACUUUAAAAUUUGAAAUUUAAAAAAUAUAUAAUUAAAAUUUUAAAUUUUAAAUUUAAUAAUUUAUAAAUUUACAUAUUUAUAAAUUUAAAAUUUAAAAUUUAA